rnacentral:lncRNA from 10 species
CCCACCCCCUGCUUCUUUUUUUCCUUUCUUAAAAAAGCUUUUCACCUUUGGCUAUGCUUACUUAUGAGUGAAGAUCACUUUCAUAAGUCAUUUCUCAAUUAAUCUCACAAAUAUCAUGCUUUCUCCCACUUCAAAGAAGUCACAAAAUGUUAAAGAUAAAAAGGUCCCCAUCCCAAGCAGCAGAGAGACUCCCCAACCUGUCAUCUCAAAGUGAAGAGAAGCCCUCACCCCCACCCGUGAGGAGCAGCAGGCAUAAGUACUGGAUCUGAGCUUCCGGAGUUUACUUCUUUCAGCAUCAGCUUGGCUUCCAGAUUCCCCAUACACUUUUCCUAAAAAUACAAGGCUCCUGACGUGCACAAGAGCCAAAAAUGUACCUGUCUGCCCAACCCGCCUUUCAGGUACAACCAACACGUCAAGAUGGAGAAACUUUCACACGAGGCACUUUCUAGACCUAAACAACUAAUUUCCCCAGCGCCGCCUUCAUCUGCACCUCGACACCCACAAGCAAGGCAUGGGACACCUGCGCCGCCGGGUCCGGCCAGGAGCUUGCCCCGCGCUGCCCUACUGCCCCGGUGCAGAGACUUCCCCAGCGGCCCGGCUGCGGGCGCCGCACUCACCUCCCGCAGCGGAGCGUCCUCCAGUGCGCCCUACUGGGCCGUCCGGCUCCCGGGAGCGAGGUCUCCAAGAAUAGGAUACCUUCCUUCUAGCCACAUCAUCACUGAAGCUGAAGCACGUUCUUUUUCCUGUUCAGCAUUGAACACUUUGAAUAUAUUAUGACAACUAUGAUUUGUUUGUGCCAUCUUGUGUGUGUGUGUAUAUACAUAUAUAUGUAUAUAUAUAUAUAUAUGCUAAUAAAACCUUUCCAUUAACAAAACUCAUUGAAAACAAAUUCUAUGUCUACUUGUGAUUUAUCUUCCCUGAGACCUCAAAUAUCUAGAAAUAUUAUUUGCAUUUAUUCUUGUCAUAUUUCAAUAUUUUAUUGUCAAUGUUGAGUGUAGAAAGAGGUGGAAAAGGAGAGCGAUAAUUGUGAAGUUGAUCACUGGAUGAAUUAGUAGAUGCUAGAAGAAGACUGUGCAAAAGAAACUGAAAUAAAGAAGUAGUGACA